CCUACGGGGAGCAGCAGUGAGGAAUAUUGGUCAAUGGGCGCUAGCCUGAACCAGCCAAGUAGCGUGAAGGAUGACUGCCCUAUGGGUUGUAAACUUCUUUUAUAUGGGAAUAAAGUGCAGUAUGUAAACUGCUUAGCAUGUACCUUAUGAAUAAGGAUAGGCUAACAACGUGCAAGAAGCCGCGGUAAUACGGAGGAGCCGAGCGUUAUCCGGAUUUAUUGGGUGUAAAGGGAGCGUAGGCGGGUUGUUAAGUCCGUUGUGAAAGUUGGCGGCUCAACCGUAAAAUUGCAGUUGAUACUGGCGUCCUUGAGUACAGUAGAGGUAGGCGGAAUUCGUGGUGUAGCGUUGAAAUGCUUAGAUAUCACGAAGAACUCCGAUUGCGAAGGCAGCCUGCUGGACUGUAACUGCCGCUGAUGCUCGAAAGUGUGGGUAUCAAACAGGAUUAGAUACCCGGGUAGUC
rnacentral:rRNA from 1 species